AAAGACGAGCCUCCCGCAAUUCGCGUUUACACAGUCUGCGACGAAUCAAGAUAUUUGAUUGUGAGAAACGUUCCCGCUCUGGGUUGCGGCGAUGAUUUGUUGAAGCUUUUUGCGUCCUAUGGAGACGUUGAAGAGUAACUUUAAACCCAUGGAUGCAGAAGACUGUGAGCAAUUUACUGAUGUUUACUGGUUCAAAUUUCGUUUGGUCAGCAAUGCCAGGUUUGCAAAAAGAAAAUUGGAUGAGUUUGUUUU
rnacentral:misc_RNA from 1 species